rnacentral:ncRNA from 2 species
CCCGGGCCGCGCGGGAGCCGGGGCAGCCGGCUGAGAGUGCAGCCAGAGGCGCUGCAGACCGCCUGAACCUGAUCCGGUUCGGACCGGCGGAGGGAGCGGCGUUCGGGAAUCC